CGCGAUUCGCCCUUCGGGGCGCACCAGGCGCGAAAACUCUACAAUGCAGGCAACUGCGAUAGGGGAACAUCGAGUGAUCCUCAUAUUGGGGGUCUGUCCCACUGUCUAAAAAACGGUGGUUAGCAAGGGCCGGGCAAGACCGGUGCCAGCCGCCGCGGUAAUACCGGCGGCUCGAGUGGUGGCCGAUAUUAUUGAGUCUAAAGGGUCCGUAGCCGGCUUUGCAAGUCUCUCGGGAAAUCCAGCGGCUUAACCGUUGGUCGUCCGGGGGGUACUACAUUGCUUGGGACUGGGAGAGGUAGGAGGUACUCAGGGGGUAGGAGUGAAAUCCUGUAAUCCUCUGGGGACCACCGGUGGCGAAGGCGUCCUACCAGAACAGGUCCGACGGUGAGGGACGAAAGCUAGGGGCACGAACCGGAUUAGAUACCCGGGUAGUCCUAGCCGUAAACGAUGCUCGCUAGGUGUCACAACAGUCGUGAACUGUUGUGGUGCCGUAGGGAAGCCGUGAAGCGAGCCACUUGGGAAGUACGACCGCAAGGUUGAAACUUAAAGGAAUUGGCGGGGGAGCAC
rnacentral:rRNA from 1 species